CUGGAGGUAUCAGAAGUGCGAAUGCUGACAUAAGUAACGAUAAAGCGGGUGAAAAGCCCGCUCGCCGGAAGACCAAGGGUUCCUGUCCAACGUUAAUCGGGGCAGGGUGAGUCGACCCCUAAGGCGAGGCCGAAAGGCGUAGUCGAUGGGAAACAGGUUAAUAUUCCUGUACUUGGUGUUACUGCGAAGGGGGGACGGAGAAGGCUAUGUUGGCCGGGCGACGGUUGUCCCGGUUUAAGCGUGUAGGCUGGUUUUCCAGGCAAAUCCGGAAAAUCAAGGCUGAGGCGUGAUGACGAGGCACUACGGUGCUGAAGCAACAAAUGCCCUGCUUCCAGGAAAAGCCUCUAAGCAUCAGGUAACAUCAAAUCGUACCCCAAACCGACACAGGUGGUCAGGUAGAGAAUACCAAGGCGCUUGAGAGAACUCGGGUGAAGGAACUAGGCAAAAUGGUGCCGUAACUUCGGGA
rnacentral:rRNA from 1 species